AUUGGACGCUGGCGGCAGGCCUAACACAUGCAAGUCGAACGAGUGGCGGACGGGUGAGUAAUGUCUGGGAAACUGCCCGAUGGAGGGGGAUAACUACUGGAAACGGUAGCUAAUACCGCAUACCAUCGGAUGUGCCCAGAUGGGAUUAGCUAGUAGGUGGGGUAACGGCUCACCUAGGCGACGACCCCUAGCUGGUCUGAGAGGAUGACCAGCCACAUUGGGACUGAGAUACGGCCCAGACUCCUACGGGAGGCAGCAGUGGGGGAUAUUGCACAAUGGGCGCAAGCCUGAUGCAGCCAUGCCGCGUGUGUGAAGAAGGCCUUCGGGUUGUAAAGCACUUUCAGCGAGGAGGCGUUACUCGCAGAAGAAGCACCGGCUAACUCCGUGCCAGCAGCCGCGGUAAUAC
rnacentral:rRNA from 1 species